UACGUAGGCAGCAAGCGUUGUUCGGAAUUACUGGGCGUAAAGCGCGCGUAGGCGGUGAUCUUUGUCAGAGGUGAAAGCCUGGGGCUCAACUCCAGAAUUGCCUUUGAAACGGGAUUGCUUGAGUCCGAGAGAGGAUGGCGGAAUUCCUAGUGUAGAGGUGAAAUUCGUAGAUAUUAGGAAGAACACCGGUGGCGAAGGCGGCCAUCUGGCUCGGUACUGACGCUCAGGCGCGAAAGCGUGGGGAGCAACAGGG
rnacentral:rRNA from 1 species